CCACAGCAGCAGAUAGUUAUUGUUUACAUUUCGUUUCUGAGGCCUCCCAACUUCUUAGGAGAAAAGAUCCAACUAAAGGAUUUUUCAUAAAAUAUGUCCUUGACAGGUUCCCACAAGGCGCUCUGCAGGCACUGUGUGAACUAUGGGAAAGUUGUUUCCUUUCCCAAAGUCUGCACAGUGGAAUUUUUGUCUGCUAUGCUAAUUCCAAACCUCCACCUUGACACCUUCCUGUUUGCCUUCCAGUGUUUAUAUCAAGUUUCUGUUGUGGUGGGUUAUUUUAUGGGAAGAUCCUUCUUUGAUAGUGUUUAGAGAAUUUCUGCUCUUUAAAUCUCUACAGCUUCCCAUUGCACAAUGGAUUCUAAAUAAUUACACUAAAAAUAUUGUCCGCUGUUUCUGCUCGCCAUGUAUGAACUAUGAUACUGAAUUUCUUUCUCUUUUACUGUUGAAAACAAUGCAAAAGCAGAGUUUAAUUAGUGCUAGUAUCCCAAUUAAUGUAAUACAAUUAUUUUACUGAAACCUGUUCUCUUUUUUCAAGUCUUGACUGAAAAUUAAAGUGAGACAAGGUGAAUGACGCCUUGGGGCCCUGUGAUGGAGCUUUCUGCACAUGAACAUAAGCAGAUUUUAUAUCCUUAAAUUCAUUGUUUCUGUUUCCACAGGAUGGCAGCAAAGACCAUCAAAAUACUCAGCUCACUCUCCUCGGACUUAGCUGCUCUUCUGAAGCUUGUUGCACAGCUUUAAAUGUUGCACCACACGCCACUUUGUCCUGACACCUUAAAUUUUAGCUCUUGUAUUUUUCAGAUUCUGCACUGCAUUAGUAUAUAACUCUGAACUGAAUAUAGAGUGUUAGCAAGUUCUCUUCACAGUUUAGUUAGCCAAACAAUCCUUUUUCCUUUCCUGAGAACACCAUUAUAGCUUCAGGUCCAAAAAGUAUGAACAGCAGCAAAUUGAAGAGAGCAAACUGGGAGGAUGUGACUUCAUAACAUGAAGCUGUAAUUCAACAACUAACUCCAAUAUGUACAUGGACCAAUACUUAUAAAACUGUGAAAACUCUUGACCCAUGGUGCAUUUUGGGUGUAGCUACAACCAAGUUCUUGUACUGCCCAAGAUGUGUCCUUUGAAGGCCUUUUAAUAAAACCUCCUUCAUUCCUUUAACUCUGUCUAGCCUCUAUUCUAGGUAGCCUCCCAAGGCAUCAGUCCCAUCUGAACUGAAAAUUGACUAUUUUCCAACAAAACUUGAGACAUCUGUGCUCUUUCCCAAGAUUGCAGAGCUGGAAGAGGAGAAGGAGGAGCUGGAAAAACAAGUGAGCGAAGAGAAAGCGAAAUGUGAGGCCAUUGAAAGGCAAGAAACAGAACGGAGAGAAAUAGAAGAGAAGAAACACAGUGAGGAGGUUCUGUUCCUCAAACGGACAAACCAGCAGCUGAAGGCCCAACUUGAAUGCAUCAUUGCAGCAAAGAAUUAAUUGUUUUGUUGUCCUCAAGGCAGGCUCAGAAGAGCUGUCAGAGCAAGAAGCUUGCAAUUAGUGACAAAGAUUUGUCUUCCUAAAAUGAUCUUGAGUUUUCACUUACCAGUAACAGCAGGCAGUGUAACUGUGUUCUUUCUUUCUCUCUUGAAGAGUUGAAAUUCAAGAGCUUUUAUUAAUUAUUGCUCCCUCCUUCAGAGCCAUCUCAGCAGUCAGCUCUUUGAACAGUGAACUUGUCUGGAACUUGCCUGUUGGUAAUGUGCUAAUGACCUUCAAAGCAAUAACUAAUAAAUAUUUUUAAAUGCAAA